rnacentral:rRNA from 1 species
UACGUAGGGUGCAAGCGUUGUCCGGAAUUAUUGGGCGUAAAGAGCUCGUAGGCGGUUCGUCGCGUCGGCUGUGAAAUCCCGAGGCUCAACCUCGGGUCUGCAGUCGAUACGGGCGGACUUGAGUACUGCAGGGGAGACUGGAAUUCCUGGUGUAGCGGUGAAAUGCGCAGAUAUCAGGAGGAACACCGGUGGCGAAGGCGGGUCUCUGGGCCGUAACUGACGCUGAGGAGCGAAAGUGUGGGGAGCGAACAGG